CUACGUGCCAGCAGCCGCGGUAAUACGUAUGUCACGAGCGUUAUCCGGAUUUAUUGGGCGUAAAGCGCGUCUAGGUGGUUAUGUAAGUCUGAUGUGAAAAUGCAGGGCUCAACUCUGUAUUGCGUUGGAAACUGUAUAACUAGAGUACUGGAGAGGUAAGCGGAACUACAAGUGUAGAGGUGAAAUUCGUAGAUAUUUGUAGGAAUGCCGAUGGGGAAGCCAGCUUACUGGACAGAUACUGACGCUAAAGCGCGAAAGCGUGGGUAGCAAACAGGAUUAGAUACCCUGGUAGUCCACGCUGUAAACGAUGAUUACUAGGUGUUGGGGGUCGAACCUCAGCGCCCAAGCAAACGCGAUAAGUAAUCCGCCUGGGGAGUACGUACGCAAGUAUGAAACUCAAAGGAAUUGACGGGGACCCGCACAAGCGGUGGAUGAUGUGGAUUAAUUCGAUGCAACGCGAAGAACCUUACCUGGUCUUGACAU
rnacentral:rRNA from 1 species